UCGCCGCCGACGACGUCGCGAGAAGUCCACUGAACCUUAUCAUUUAGAGGAAGGAGAAGUCGUAACAAGGUUUCCGUAGGUGAACCUGCGGAAGGAUCAUUGUCGAUGCCUGCAAAGCAGAACGACCCGCGAACCGUUUCUCAACRCUCGGGAUGCCGGAGGGCGUCGAGCUCCCCGGUAUCUCGACGCUCCGGACGUCGGCGGUGCGAGCCACCCCCGGCGGAGGGAGCAUCGAACACAACCCCGGCGUGCAAAGCGCCAAGGUACUCUAACGGUAGGGCAAGCACCCGUCGCCCCGGACUCCGGSGCGCGAUCGGGUGUCUGUUCGGUGGCAUAAAAAUCUAACGANNNCGCAGCGAAAUGCGAUACUUGGUGUGAAUUGCAGAAUCCCGUGAACCAUCGAGUCUUUGAACGCAAGUUGCGCCCGAAGCUUCGGCCGAGGGCACGCCUGCCUGGGUGUCACACGUCGCUCUGCCUCCAAAACCUUUCCCCUCGUAACGUCGCGGCGAUGGUUUGGAUGCGGAAGAUGGCCUCCCGUGACCACGAGCCACGGAUGGCCCAAGUUCUUGCUGGGGAAGCGAAGCGCCACGGCUUUCGGUGGUCGGUACAGCCCRCGAGGGCAACGAAGCCCGUGGCAGCCGCGAAGGUCCCCGGUCUACGACCCCAAUCACUAACCAAUGCGACCUCAGGUCAGGCGGGGCUACCCGCUGAGUUUAAGCAUAUCAAUAAGCGGAGG
rnacentral:rRNA from 1 species